rnacentral:tRNA from 1 species
GCUCUGGUGUAUUCAGGGGUAGAAUUCUUGCCUUCCAUUCUGGAGACCUGGGUUCUAUUCCCAGCCAGUGCU